rnacentral:rRNA from 1 species
GACGAACGCUGGCGGCGUGCUUAACACAUGCAAGUCGAACGGUAAGGCCCUUCGGGGUACACGAGUGGCGAACGGGUGAGUAACACGUGGGUGAUCUGCCCUGCACUUCGGGAUAAGCCUGGGAAACUGGGUCUAAUACCGGAUAGGACCACUGCCUGCAUGGGUGGUGGUGGAAAGCUUUUGCGGUGUGGGAUGGGCCCGCGGCCUAUCAGCUUGUUGGUGGGGUGAUGGCCUACCAAGGCGACGACGGGUAGCCGGCCUGAGAGGGUGACCGGACACACGGGGACUGAGAUACGGCCCAGACUCAGACGGGAGGCAGCAGUGGGGAAUAUUGCACAAUGGGCGCAAGCCUGAUGCAGCGACGCCGCGUGAGGGAUGACGGCCUUCGGGUUGUAAACCUCUUUCAGCACCGACGAAGCGCAAGUGACGGUAGGUGCAGAAGAAGGACCGGCCAACUACGUGCCAGCCGCCGCCGUAA